rnacentral:rRNA from 1 species
UACGGAGGGGGCUAGCGUUGCUCGGAAUUACUGGGCGUAAAGCGCACGUAGGCGGACCAGCAAGUUAGGGGUGAAAUCCCGGGGCUCAACCCCGGAACUGCCUUUAAAACUGUUGGUCUGGAGGUCGAGAGAGGUGAGUGGAAUUCCGAGUGUAGAGGUGAAAUUCGUAGAUAUUCGGAGGAACACCAGUGGCGAAGGCGGCUCACUGGCUCGAUACUGACGCUGAGGUGCGAAAGCGUGGGGAGCAAACAGG